UACAGAGGUCCCAAGCGUUGUUCGGAUUCACUGGGCGUAAAGGGUGCGUAGGUGGUGAGGUAAGUCGGAUGUAAAAGCUCGGAGCUCAACUCCGAAAUGGCAUUGGAAACUACCUUGCUCGGGGGUUGGAGGGGGGACUGGAAUACUUGGUGUAGCAGUGAAAUGCGUAGAUAUCAAGUGGAACACCAGUGGCGAAGGCGAGUCCCUGGACAACUCCUGACACUGAGGCACGAAAGCUAGGGGAGCAAACAGG
rnacentral:rRNA from 1 species